rnacentral:rRNA from 1 species
CAGCCGCCGCGGUAAUACGUAGGGUGCGAGCGUUGUCCGGAAUUACUGGGCGUAAAGAGCUCGUAGGUGGUUUGUCGCGUCGUUUGUGUAAGCCCGCAGCUUAACUGCGGGACUGCAGGCGAUACGGGCAUAACUUGAGUGCUGUAGGGGAGACUGGAAUUCCUGGUGUAGCGGUGGAAUGCGCAGAUAUCAGGAGGAACACCGAUGGCGAAGGCAGGUCUCUGGGCAGUAACUGACGCUGAGGAGCGAAAGCAUGGGUAGCGAACAGGAUUAGAUACCCUGGUAGUCCAUGCCGUAAACGGUGGGCGCUAGGUGUGAGUCCCUUCCACGGGGUUCGUGCCGUAGCUAACGCAUUAAGCGCCCCGCCUGGGGAGUACGGCCGCAAGGCUAAAACUUAAAUGAAUUGACGG